rnacentral:rRNA from 1 species
GACGAACGCUGGCGGCGUGCUUAACACAUGCAAGUCGAACGGAGCGAAUGAAAGCUUGCUUUUAUGAGCUUAGUGGCAAACGGGUGAGUAACACGUAGACAACCUGCCGACAGGAUGGGGACAACAUUCCGAAAGGAAUGCUAAUACCGAAUGAAGCGGAGGAGAGGCAUCUCUCUUCCGUGAAAGAUGGCCUCUAUUUAUAAGCUAUCACCUGUUGAUGGGUCUGCGUCUGAUUAGCUGGUUGGUGAGGUAACGGCUCACCAAGGCGACGAUCAGUAGCCGGUCUGAGAGGAUGAACGGCCACAUUGGGACUGAGACACGGCCCAGACUCCUACGGGAGGCAGCAGUGGGGAAUCUUCCGCAAUGGGCGCAAGCCUGACGGAGCAACGCCGCGUGAGUGAAGAAGGUCUUCGGAUCGUAAAGCUCUGUUGACGGGGACG